AUUGAACGCUGGCGGCAUGCCUUACACAUGCAAGUCGAACGGUAGCACGGGGCAACCUGGUGGCGAGUGGCGAACGGGUGAGUAAUGCAUCGGAAUGUACCUUUCAGUGGGGGAUAACGUAGCGAAAGUUACGCUAAUACCGCAUAUUCUGUGAGCAGGAAAGCAGGGGAUCGCAAGACCUUGCGCUGAUUGAGCGGCCGAUGUCAGAUUAGCUAGUUGGUGAGGUAAAGGCUCACCAAGGCGACGAUCUGUAGCGGGUCUGAGAGGAUGAUCCGCCACACUGGGACUGAGACACGGCCCAGACUCCUACGGGAGGCAGCAGUGGGGAAUUUUGGACAAUGGGGGCAACCCUGAUCCAGCCAUGCCGCGUGAGUGAAGAAGGCCUUCGGGUUGUAAAAUUCUGUUAUAAGGGAAGAACGACUUUAGUAGGAAAUGGCUAGAGUGUGACGGUACCUUAUGAGAAAGCCACGGCUAACUACGUGCCAGCCGCCGCGGAAUAC
rnacentral:rRNA from 1 species